GAUGAACGCUGGCGGCGUGCUUAACACAUGCAAGUCGAACGCUGAAGCUUGGUGCUUGCACUGGGUGGAUGAGUGGCGAACGGGUGAGUAAUACGUGAGUAACCUGCCCUUGACUCUGGGAUAAGCCUGGGAAACUGGGUCUAAUACUGGAUACGACAUGCCACUGCAUGGUGGUGUGUGGAAAGGGUUUUACUGGUUUUGGAUGGGCUCACGGCCUAUCAGCUUGUUGGUGGGGUAAUGGCCUACCAAGGCGACGACGGGUAGCCGGCCUGAGAGGGUGACCGGCCACACUGGGACUGAGACACGGCCCAGACUCCUACGGGAGGCAGCAGUGGGGAAUAUUGCACAAUGGGCGGAAGCCUGAUGCAGCGACGCCGCGUGAGGGAUGACGGCCUUCGGGUUGUAAACCUCUUUCAGCACGGAAGAAGCGAGAGUGACGGUACGUGCAGAAGAAGCGCCGGCUAACUACGUG
rnacentral:rRNA from 1 species